UACGGGGGGGGCAAGCGUUGUUCGGAAUUACUGGGCGUAAAGGGCUCGUAGGUGGCCAACUACGUCAGACGUGAAAUCCCUCGGCUUAACCGGGGAACUGCGUCUGAUACUGGAUGGCUUGAGUGUGGGAGAGGGAUGCGGAAUUCCAGGUGUAGCGGUGAAAUGCGUAGAUAUCUGGAAGAACACCGGUGGCGAAGGCGGCAUCCUGGAGCACGACUGGCGGUGAGUGAGCGAAAGCAAGGGGAGCAAACGGG
rnacentral:rRNA from 1 species